rnacentral:tRNA from 1 species
GCCCAGGUAGCUCAGUUGGUAGAGCAGGGGACUGAAAAUCCCCGUGUCGGCGGUUCGAUUCCGUCCCUGGGCAC